UGUAUGAUCUAGUGCUCGUCCC
rnacentral:siRNA from 1 species